rnacentral:rRNA from 1 species
UACGAAGGGGGCUAGCGUUGCUCGGAAUCACUGGGCGUAAAGGGUGCGUAGGCGGGUCUUUAAGUCAGGGGUGAAAUCCUGGAGCUCAACUUCGGAACUGCCAUUGAUACUGCUGGUCUUGAGUAUAGUUGAGGUAGGCGGAAUAUGUCAUGUAGUGGUGAAAUACUUAGAUAUGACAUAGAACACCGAUUGCGAAGGCAGCUUGCUAAGCUAUAACUGACACUGAUGCACGAAAGCGUGGGGAGCAAACAGG